rnacentral:lncRNA from 1 species
AGCAAGAUUUAUAAUUAACUAUCGAUCGGUCGGUCUUAAUUCAAUUCCCACAACGCUUGCGCCCUCCCUAUUUUUCUCAUUUUUCAUUCAAAUUAGAAUGACAACUACGAAUUGAUUAGGUAACCCUUAUAUUAAUUAAAUGUGAUGCUACUAUUAGAAUGGGUGAAAGGAUUGAGGAAAAUAUUAGCUAUCCUCAUUAAAUUCCACUUACCGAUAAUUGAAGAUUUGACUGGAAAAUGAAGUUGAGUUCCAGGACUGGGUUCACUCAUGAACUAUUUCUCCUCAUCCAUGAAAAAUUCCAGGACUGGGUAGUGUCGGAGUCUAAUAAUGACUUUUAACCUAUAAAAUUAAUAUACAAAAUUAAUUAAAAGAUUAAAAAAACAUAUAAAAAAAGAUUAAUUAAAAUUUAAAUAUUACAAGUUAUUAAAUUAUAAAAUAAUUCAAGUUAUAAAAAAAUAUUAAAGUAUUAUUUAUUAUAGUGAUUUGUAUUAAACCCUUUUAAUUUUUAUUUUUAGUUCUCAUUAUUUAUAUACAAUUUAAUAUAAUAAAUUAUAAUAUAUUUAUUAUUUUAUUACCAAUAUAUCCAGGUCCGGGGCCAGUCAGGUUUGUCUGAGAUCGUCUCAUACCUCCAGGUCCAAAAUAAUUAAUGGGGCCAAUUGACCCAUUUACACCCGUAAUAUUGCAUGCAUCAUUAUUCAAAUUAAAAUUAAUAUGUGAUUUAAUUAAGUAAAUCCUUAGAUUUAUCAUUGAAAUUGGUAUAUAUAUUACGAUUACAUAUUUAAAAUAUUAAAGCUAAGAGGGUUUAAAAUAUUAUACGGGGAUUCAUACCGAUCAUACUUAUGGGAGUCCCCCACUUCCAUUUCUAGAGCCUGAUCCAUUACCCGAACCAGAUCGAUGUCCAGACCCACCACCUUCUCCUUUGCCGUAACCACAAUUUCCGUUACCUAAACUAUAACCAGAUCCACUGCUAGAGCCAUAUCUGGAUCCAUUCCAACCUCCAUAUUGUCUACAACCACCUCCACCACCAUGUCUAGAUACCACCUAGAUCUUUCUUGCCCACCGUAACCAGAACUACUUCCAGAUGCAUAACCACUCCCUGAUCCAUAACUCUCAGGUAGUGCUCAACGCUGUAAUUAACGGAAAAUAAUAUCUUGUAUUGAAUGAAAGUAAACUAGUCUACAAGCAUUUAUUUAGUAUUCAUUUAACUUAUAAGUUUGAUUUAUCCUAAUUAACAAAGCCUUAUAUAAUUAUUAAGUAUUACUAUUGACACCGUCUCCCAAUCUUUAUAUGCCUUUAGAUUGAAAACCAUAUAAAAUCCCACUAAUGUAACAUUAUUUGUUGGACCAAGUUAGCAGAAGAACUGACUUGGCCAGAUCAGUUAAAGAAUGUUAAGUACAUAUUUUGUUAGUUAAGUGGUUAGUAAUAACUGACUUAAAUAUCUGCUAAACUAGUAGUUAGUAUAACUAAAUCUGUAGCUAUAAAAGGCACACUAUUGUAAGAACUAUUCAAUGAAUGAAAAUACACGUUUAGUAGAAACUUAUAUUGUAUCAUUCGUUCUCGGCUAAGAUCUUCAAGAAUGAUUAAUGCCGACUCGUUUUCCGCUGCCGCCGGUGCGACGAUUACCGGAAAUGCUGCUGCCACAAGAUUGGUCGCGAAGCAUGUAAAAUGUGUUCAAUUAGAGAAAGACAACUACUUCGUAUGGGAGGCUCAAUUCUCGGCGAUGCUAUGGGGAUUUGAACUCAUGGGAUACGUCGAAGGUGAAAUUGAACUCAACACUCCAUCGACUCGCCAACAAGAUCAGCUUAUCCUAAGUUGGAUCUUGAUAGGGAUUUCGACUUCUAUUCUUCCUUCGGUUGUUGCCUGCAAGACAUCCACGAUGACAUGGAACGCCUUGAAAAGAAUGUACGCCUCCAGCACUUUGGCGAGACAGUUACACCUAAGAUUGCAGCUGCAAACAACGAAGAAGGAAGGCAUGAUGAUGGGAGAUUUUCUUGCUAAGAUUUCAAUCCUAAAAGAUUCGCUAGCUGCAAACAGAGAAGUUUUGAAAGAAAAAAAGGUUAUUUUAAUUGCUUUACAAGGUCUUGGGGAUGAAUAUGAAUCAUUUGUGACAUCUAUUACAACUAGAUACGAUCACUUAAUGACUUUCAUUACAUUGUGUGAAGUCCUGAUCGACUAUGAUCGGCUCGAGGCUAGAAAUUCGACGACCAUGAAUGUUUCAGCAAAAGCAUACAAAUCCGGACGAACAUCAGAUGCAAAUUCGGACGGCGACUCGUCAUUUGAGAAUGUCAGAUGCCAAAUCUGCAACAGGAAAGCUCACUCUGCCCUAAAUUGCUAUCAUCGGUUGAACAUUAUGAAGUACAGACCGACACACACUCGUGAGCUCACGGCUGUUGGACCGAAUGGUGCAUAUCGAUCUGCCCGGAAAGAAAAAUCUGCAACACUCUCCGCAAAUGCAGAUUCUGAUUCUUCAAUGUCUCUUUGGUUUCCCAACACCGGUGCAACUUCUCAUAUAACUCCUACCGCCAAUAAUAUCCAAUCCCCAAGAAUAUUCAAAGGUAAUAAUCAGAUUCUCACGGCUGAUGGUAGUCCGUUAUCUAUUUUGAAUACGGGGGAGAGUAUUGCAAAAGACAACUUCAAAAAUUCUUUCUAAUAAAAAAUUUGUUACAC